GUUAGUUCUGAGAACGUUUCCUGUUAGCCCAGUUGUUUCAAACAGGUGAAACUGGUCCAGAAUCGGCCUGAAAGGCCUUCCUAAAACACCUCAUUUAAACACGCCCCCACAUAUCUACAUCACUGUCUUGGAAGAUUUGCACACCGCCCAAAUGUAAACUCAAAGAAAGAAGGUGUUUGGCCAACGCACAACGCACUGGAUAGCUGACCAAUCAGAGCACACCGCACUUUUCAGAACGAUGAGCUUCGACGUGUUUCAGAAAGGUUGGGCAGAGAGGAGCAACAAUAAUGUACGCUCUGUGUUCCAUGGAAAUAAAAACAGCAUUUGGAUUUGGAACAAUAUGAAGCAAAACAGUCUUAAUACUUAAGGUCCCUGCGGGCUGCUGGCAGAUCUGAAUCCAAACAGGACAGGUAUGUAGUUCACAUGUCCAAGCCAGGGAAUAGUGUAGUUUUUGUUAAAAAAAAAAAAAAAUCCCCG